GAUUCGAUUCAUUCAAUGUCUCUCGCCGGAUGAGCAGAACAGGUAUAAUAAUCAGUACCAAAACAAACUGUAGAUAAACAUUCUCAUUUUUGGAUUGUAAACUCGAAAGUUCAGAUCAACCGACAUGAUUCCGAGGAAUCGAAUAUCCACACUUAUCAAAGCUGUUAACAGCGGAACCUGCAGCUGUCCGGCCCAUUCUCGACCAGCAACAAGUGUUCUUCAACCCAACCAAAAGUAUGAGAAGGAAUAUGCAUUUGAGAUGUCAUCUUCGACCAUUCGAUAUGGACCCGGAGUCAGUAAAGAGUUAGGCCACGACCUUCAGAAUCUAAAUGCUAAGAAGGUGUGCGUAGUGACGGAUAAAAAUGUGAUCAAACUGCCUUCGGUACAGGUAGCGUUUGAUUCGCUCACUCGAUGUGGGAUCUCGUUUAAAGUUUAUGACGAAACUCGGGUGGAACCCACGGAUGAAAGUUUCAUCAAGGCAGCUGACUUUGCCAGAAAGCAGGAGUUCGACGCAUUUGUAGCUAUUGGGGGAGGUUCCGCAAUCGAUACAUGUAAGGCGGCCAAUUUGUACAGCUCCGAUCGGGAGGCUGACUUCCUGGACUACGUAAAUGCUCCCAUUGGGAAAGCUAAAGAAAUUUCGGUAAAACUUAAACCACUGAUUGCCGUUCCCACUACUGCCGGCACCGGAUCCGAAACAACCGGAGUGGCCAUCUUCGACUACAAAUCGAUGCACGUAAAGACCGGCAUAUCCAGUAAACUUCUGAGACCCCAGCUAGGACUGAUCGAUCCACUGCACACUUUAAGUCAACCGGAAAAGGUGGCUGCAUACUGCGGAUUUGAUGUAUUCUGUCACGCUCUGGAGAGUUUCACUGCCGUUCACUACGAAGAUCGCGGUCCUGCUCCAGCGAAUCCAAAAUUGAGACCGCCCUAUCAAGGAAGCAAUCCCAUUUCGGACGUUUGGGCUCGAUACGCACUGAACGUGAUCCGGGAUCACUUCCGGUCGGCCGUGUUCAAUCAAGACGAUCUUAAGGCACGCUCAAAUAUGCAUCUGGCUUCGACGAUGGCCGGAGUUGGGUUUGGUAAUGCUGGGGUUCAUCUCUGUCAUGGUUUAUCGUAUGCUAUUUCGGGAAGUGUUCGGAAGUUCGUUCCCGAGGGAUAUGAUCGGGAUCAUGCCAUCAUUCCGCACGGGCUAUCUGUGGUGAUGACUGCACCGGCAGUUUUUAAGUUCACAGGUGCUUUCUGUCCGGAGCGGCACCUCGAGGCGGCAGGGAUACUGGGAGCCGAUGUAUCAAAGGCAAAACUUUCUGAUGCCGGCGCGAUUCUGGCCGACGUAGUUCGGCAGUACAUGUAUGACCUGAAAAUCGAAAAUGGCCUGGUUGGGCUCGGUUUCAACGGUGGUGACAUUCCCAAGCUGGUCAAGGGAACUCUUCCCCAGGAACGGAUCACCAAGAUGGCUCCCCGCGCUCAAACCGAGGAAGAUUUGGCGGAGCUGUUCGAGAAGUCUUUGACAGUUUAUUGAAAUGAAAUAAGCCGCUGGAAAUUUACUCACACAAACGUUUUAAAUUGAUUUAUUUUUAGUGUCAGGAUUUAAACUUUCGUUCGUUCAAAGUGUAAUUGUAUAAUAUAGAGGGCCAAAACCCAUAUCUAAGAGCUAGGAAAAAUCAAACAAAUUAAAAUAUUCAGUCAACGAGAAUCAUUAAAACAAAGUGGAUUCGUAUUGUGUCAACAGGUUUAUUUAAUGUUGUUUAUAUACAGAUUAUGGAUGAACUUUUGGAUUAUACAAUAAAUAAAUAAUAGACUAUCACAGCAAAAAAAAUGUAACGAUGGACGAUGUAAUUUCUGGAAAUGAUGUAGUAUUAGGGAUUUCUGUUGCAAUAUUACAUACAUCAAAACGAUGAACACAAUGCGAACACGUCGUGUGAUGUGAUAUCACAAAUUUUCAGGUGAUAUCUCAUCAAGUAGUCAAUGUUUUCCUCAAUUGACGUCUAAAAUUUAAUUCAUUUCCAAAAGUUUGAAACAGAUUACGGAGCUCAGCAGUAUUUGUUUGGCUUGGAAUUUGGCCCAUUUGAAUCAGCGGUAGAAAAUUUUAUGAUUUGAAACACCAGGAUGAUAAGGGGAGCAUUUUGUUUUAUUCGUCUUUCCUGUGGUUUUUUCAUUUAAAGCUUGAUAAAAUGAUGUGUUCCGGCUUGCGAAAAACGAAGUGACUCAAACCAGUCGAUUUGGAAACAAAACUUGGGAAGAUAAGUGUCCAGUGAUCGUAUUCGAGCAGCUCCAGCAUGGAAGUCCUACUUCAAGAUAAGGGGAAUGCUGCACAGAAAAUGUUGAUUAAAGUUUUUAUAGGAUAAGUAAUUUUAACAAAUAUAAACUAAACACAUCGACUGAUAAUAAAUUUUUAGUUGCUUCAAAGUUGUUGACUCAGCUUGUUUUUGACUUGAAUUUCGACAACCCUUUUCGACUUGAUAAAAACCCCUAGUUGAAUGAUGAAUCAAUAAAUGUAUGAUAAAGUCUAGGGAAAAUGUUAAAUGAUAG